UACGUAGGGGGCAAGCGUUGUCCGGAAUCAUUGGGCGUAAAGAGCGUGUAGGCGGCCUGAUAAGUCGGCUGUGAAAGUCAAGGCUCAACCCUUGAAUGCCGGCCGAUACUGUCAGGCUAGAGUCCGGAAGAGGCGAGUGGAAUUCCUGUGUAGCGGUGAAAUGCGCAGAUAUCAGGAGGAACACCUAGUGGCGAAGGCAG
rnacentral:rRNA from 1 species